rnacentral:rRNA from 1 species
AAACUUUCAACAACGGAUCUCUUGGUUCUGGCAUCGAUGAAGAACGCAGCGAAAUGCGAUAAGUAAUGUGAAUUGCAGAAUUCAGUGAAUCAUCGAAUCUUUGAACGCACAUUGCGCCUAAUAGUAUUCU